GCGCCGCGCUGGAUGCGGGCGGGCGCGGGGGUCUCCGCCCGCUCCCCGCCGGAGCGGCGGGUUGAGGAACGGACCCAAAGUUGCUGGAAAGCACAAACUUCCCCGGCGGGUGCCGGUCCGCAGGGCGGCUGUCGGAGCCUUAAUGUGGCGAGAGGGGGGAAAGACCAGAAAGGACUUAUUUUUCAACCCCCCAUCCUCGUUUCAAGCACACAAUAUGGUACCCACAACCGGCCGUGCACAUCGGAGUUUGAGCAUAAACUAAUAAUAGCUGGAUAGUUCCACAGGCUAUCCGAGCUGGCGGGUCUUCCUCUCCCUGCUUCUGGAGCGACUAAAAUUGAUUGUAAUCUACUGAAAGAGAGUCGGAGAGCAGCUCGUUUGGGUGAGGGGGUGGGGGACUGGAGAGUCGCUGCAGGAAGGAUAUAAAUAGAUUUUUUUUUAAGAAGAAGAAGAAGACAUUGCUUUCGAAGUUAAUGUUUGGGAAUAUUUUUUAACAGGGAUGGCUCUUUUGCCUACUGUGGUAACCCUAAACCUAACCUGUCCCUCUCCACGCAUCCACGGGAAACCUUGCUGAAAUGUGUUUUAAGAGGCUGUCAUCUCCGUUAUGAAUUGCUGAGAAAUUCUUCAGAAUAAGACCCUGAGAAAUGUCUACCUACAGAGGGAGGAGAGGAAAGGGAAUGUGCCAGUUCUCUUCCAAGUACCACAGCCUUAUGUCCUGAUCCAGCCUUGCUCUGCCAUGAACGAUCUCUGCUCCCAUGAGAAUGCCUAAAGAAGCAAAGGGGAUUCUGUACGUGAUGGUGCACAGCUCAAGUUUGUGGGAUGUUUUUGAUAUUUCUGUAGCUUUUCAUGGAUUGCAAGUUGUUGCAUUUGCUUAUUAAGUUCAGAACACAGUAUCAAUUUAUAGAAUAAAUUUCUUUUGGGUACCAGUUUGUGAGUCAAAGCUGUGUUUUCUUUCUAGCAGCAGAAAGUUUUAUAAGAAGGUUCUUCUACUUAAGAGAGAGACAUAAAAAGGCUUGUGAGUUGUAAAUAAUGUGCUUGCAUUCCCUCACCCUAUGAUCCAUGUUAUUGUAAUAAACCAUGCCAGCUUUUUAACCAAA